UGGGGAAUUUUGGACAAUGGGCGCAAGCCUGAUCCAGCCAUGCCGCGUGUCUGAAGAAGGCCUUCGGGUUGUAAAGGACUUUUGUCAGGGAAGAAAAGGCUGUUGCUAAUAUCGACAGCUGAUGACGGUACCUGAAGAAUAAGCACCGGCUAACUACGUGCCAGCAGCCGCGGUAAUACGUAGGGUGCGAGCGUUAAUCGGAAUUACUGGGCGUAAAGCGAGCGCAGACGGUUACUUAAGCAGGAUGUGAAAUCCCCGGGCUCAACCUGGGAACUGCGUUCUGAACUGGGUGACUAGAGUGUGUCAGAGGGAGGUAGAAUUCCACGUGUAGCAGUGAAAUGCGUAGAGAUGUGGAGGAAUACCGAUGGCGAAGGCAGCCUCCUGGGAUAACACUGACGUUCAUGCUCGAAAGCGUGGGUAGCAAACAGGAUUAGAUACCCUGGUAGUCCACGCCCUAAACGAUGGACACUAGGUGUGGGGGGAAUAUUUCUUCCGUGCCGCAGCUAACGCAUUAAGUGUCCCGCCUGGGGAGUACGGCCGCAAGGCUA
rnacentral:rRNA from 1 species